UGGUAAUUAGUUUAAUAUAAAACAAAUGAUUUCGACUCAUUAGAUUAUGUAGCCCUCAUAAUUACCAA
rnacentral:tRNA from 1 species